GACGAACGCUGGCGGCGUGCCUAAUACAUGCAAGUAGAACGCUGAAGAGAGGAGCUUACUCUUCUUGGAUGAGUUGCGAACGGGUGAGUAACGCGUAGGUAACCUGCCUUGUAGCGGGGGAUAACUAUUGGAAACGAUAGCUAAUACCGCAUAACAAUGGAUGAAACAUGUCAUUUAUUUGAAAGGGGCAAUUGCUCCACUACAAGAUGGACCUGCGUUGUAUUAGCUAGUAGGUGAGGUAAUGGCUCACCUAGGCGACGAUACAUAGCCGACCUGAGAGGGUGAUCGGCCACCCUGGGACUGAGACACGGCCCAGACUCCUACGGGAGGCAGCAGUAGGGAAUCUUCGGCAAUGGGGGCAACCCUGACCGAGCAACGCCGCGUGAGUGAAGAAGGUUUUCGGAUCGUAAAGCUCUGUUGUAAGUCAAGAACGGGUGUGAGAGUGGAAAGUUCACACUGUGACGGUAGCUUACCAGAAAGGGACGGCUAACUACGUG
rnacentral:rRNA from 1 species